rnacentral:rRNA from 1 species
AUUGAACGCUGGCGGCAGGCCUAACACAUGCAAGUCGAACGGUAACAGGAAGAAGCUUGCUUCUUUGCUGACGAGUGGCGGACGGGUGAGUAAUGUCUGGGAAACUGCCUGAUGGAGGGGGAUAACUACUGGAAACGGUAGCUAAUACCGCAUAACGUCGCAAGACCAAAGAGGGGGACCUUCGGGCCUCUUGCCAUCGGAUGUGCCCAGAUGGGAUUAGCUAGUAGGUGGGGUAACGGCUCACCUAGGCGACGAUCCCUAGCUGGUCUGAGAGAAUGACCAGCCACACUGGAACUGAGACACGGUCCAGACUCCUACGGGAGGCAGCAGAGGGGAAUAUUGCACAAUGGGCGCAAGCCUGAUGCAGCCAUGCCGCGUGUAUGAAGAAGGCCUUCGGGUUGUAAAGUACUUUCAGCGGGGAGGAAGGAAGUAAAGUUAAUACCUUUGCUCAUCGACGUUACCCGCAGAAGAAGCACCGGCUAACUCCGUG